UACGUAGGGUGCAAGCGUUGUCCGGAAUUAUUGGGCGUAAAGAGCUCGUAGGUGGCCUGUCGCGUCGGCUGUGAAAACUCGGGGCUCAACUCCGAGCUUGCAGUCGAUACGGGCAGGCUAGAGUUCGGUAGGGGAGACUGGAAUUCCUGGUGUAGCGGUGAAAUGCGCAGAUAUCAGGAGGAACACCGGUGGCGAAGGCGGGUCUCUGGGCCGAAACUGACGCUGAGGAGCGAAAGCGUGGGGAGCGAACAGG
rnacentral:rRNA from 1 species